ensembl:lncRNA
UAUAGAAGGGGCUGUUAUAGGGGUUGUUAAAGAAUGUGUGUUAUUUAUUUUUUCUCUGUUCAUUGUAUUAAUUGUACAAAAUAAGCAUAAAUUGGCAGUCCUAACAGUCAUAUAAUAUGACAGGCAUAGUCACAUUCGGAUAGCAGGAUAGAGGCUCAGACACAAAGCACAGUGAAGACAGGAGAGAACAAUACAAGUGAAGCCAGAGCUCUGAAUACGUGUGAUGUAAAUGCCAUCUUUGAAGGACAGGUUUGGGGCAUUGUCUUUGGGGAAUGUGCAAAUCACAUGCCCAGAGUAAGGAAGUUCAGUCCAUGCAUAUCAAUGACUGCUGGAGAGGAAACCUCUUUUUAAUGCUUGCAUAAAGAAAAAAAGAGAGAGUACAAGUCAUGUCUCUGAGGAAAAAAAAAAAGAAUGUGUUAUGAAAAUCUUCAGGUAAGACUGUGUUUAAAAAUCUGUGGAGUGUGUGCUUGAACAGAUACAUCCUCAAUGGGGAACAUCAUAUGAGGAUGAUAGGUAUGGGUCUUUCCUCCUGUUUUGGGGGGGAUAGAAAUGUAUACAGUGGACCUAAGCCUUUGGUUUAAUGCCACAUCACGACACCGUCCACUGAGGAAAUUGCCCAAAAGUCAAUUUGAGCCAUCAGAGAUUGCAAAAUGUCUUCCAUCUGGAAUAAUUGAAUUUGGGGCUUUGGUGAUUAGGAUUGCCUUUUUAAACACCCUCACAGAGGUUUCCAACACCUUCAAGACGAUAAUCUGGCAGUUUUUCCGACAGCCAUCUUUCAGACAUUGCGCGGCUGAGACAUCCGAUCAGGAACAGAGGCCACAUCUGUCACGAGCACGCCUCAAGCCUGCACACAUCCAGAUGACUGUGGGGUCCCUGGCUGUCUGCACCACUAUUGAGCAGUGAGACACAAAGCUGGUGGAAACAAGAAAAUUUAUCAAUGCAACAGAAACCCCAGAGAGGAUUACGGGAUAAACAAGAAGAGGAUGAACAAUCGUGCUCUCUCGCCCCAAACAGCUCUCAGCAGAGUGGCCCAUGUGAUGAUGCAAGCGCCUAUCUCAGGUCCAUGUGCGCAGGGUGAGAGUGCUAGAGUGCUUUCUACUUGUGGUAAAAUUAGUCAUUUACAUGCAUGUGUGCAUAAACAGAAACAGCCCCAAAGCUAAGUAAAGUGCACCCAAGAAUAUUAUGAACAGUCUUUUAUUGUUUUUAUAAUAUUGCCAAGAUUGCUGGAGGAUCUUGCU